rnacentral:rRNA from 1 species
AUACGUAGGGGGCGAGCGUUGUCCGGAAUGAUUGGGCGUAAAGGGCGCGUAGGCGGCGCGGUAAGUCUGGAGUGAAAGUCCUGCUUUCAAGGUGGGAAUUGCUUUGGAUACUGCCGCGCUUGAGUGCAGGAGAGGUUAUCGGAAUUCCCGGUGUAGCGGUGAAAUGCGUAGAGAUCGGGAGGAACACCAGUGGCGAAGGCGGGUAACUGGACUGCAACUGACGCUGAGGCGCGAAAGUUUGGGGAGCAAACAGGAUUAGAUACCCUGGUAGUCCACACUGUAAACGAUGAAUGCUAGGUGUAAGAGGUAUCGACCCCUUUUGUGCCGGAGUCAACACAAUAAGCAUUCCGCCUGGGGAGUACGGCCGCAAGGUUGAAACUCAAAGGAAUUGACGGGG